rnacentral:lncRNA from 1 species
GACAUUAGAAUCAUAGGCUUUUGGUUAAAGAUUGCUUAAGAUGUUUCUCAGACCCUGAAUUCCAGCAACCAGUUUGAAGACCCUCACAGAGGAGGAAGAUCAGCAUGAGAAUACAGCUUCUUCAUCUCCCUGUGCCAUGACUUUACCCUGUACCCUUUUUUUUUUCCUUUCUUUUCUUUUUUUUUUUUUUUUUUUUUUGAGACAGAGUUUCGCUCUUGUUGCCCAGGCUGGGGUGCAAUGGUGCAAUCUCAGCUCACCGCAACCUCCACCUCCUGAGUUCAAGUGACUCUCCUGCCUCAGCCUCCUGAGUAACUGCGAUUACAUUCACGCGCCACCACGCCGGGCUAUUUUUGUAUUUUUAGUAGAGAUGGGGUUUCUCCAUGUUGGUCAGGCUGGUCUUGAACUCCCAACCUCAGGUGAUCCUCCCACCUCAGCUUCCCAAAGUGCUGGGAUUACAGGCAUGAGCCACCGUGCCCAGCCUACCCUGUACUCUUUAACCAAUCAACAAUCUCCAUACUUUGGCCCACUCCAAAGCCCUUAAAGACCCUAGCCCCAAACUCAUCAGGGAGAUGGAUUUGAGGUCUUUUCCCAUCUCUUUGUUCUGCGACCUCAUGAUCAAACAUCUUUCUCUGCUGCAAAUCCAGUGUCUCAGUAUACUGACUUGCUGUGUGCAACAGGCAAUGAAAAUAUUACAGUUACAAUACAAUUAGUUUUAUUUGUUUCUGCUUGUAUCUUUUUGGGGUCUGUCCCCCUAACUCCACAUCCUGCUUGAUGUAUUUAUUUUGGGAGUUAUGUAAAGCAUUAUUCAUUCCUAAUUUCCUUUUAAUCAAUUUAGAGAUACAGACCCCUGCUGAGCACCUACCAUGUGCCAGGGACAGCCUGGGUAUUUUUAUUACCUAUUAUAUGACUAUAAAAACAUAAUAUGACAUUUUAUAUGUCAAUACCUGGGUUAUAAAGCUUUAUGCCAAGAUUUCAAAACUGAUUUACUUUAAUCCCUGAAAGGUGACGCCCCUUUUGUAUUCUUUUAUCCCCUUUCUUAAUGGUUCUCCAACUCUGUGGAUCUAUAGAUUCUUUGGCUCUACUUAUAUAAAUAGCCUAAAAACAUAUCAGGAAUGACGAGGCUUUCUCAUGAAACUGUUCUUUCUCAUGAAACACUAAAGGAAUGUUACCUGUUUUAGUUUUUUAAUUAACAAUCAUUUUUUAUAAUUCACACUCUAAAAUGACAAUGUUGACACAAUAUUUGUAAAUACAAACAAAGACUGAGCACUCUUGAGGGCUCAUUCAUUUCAAUUUGGGCUUUUAGAAGACACAGUUCUAAGUGUUUACAAGGACUUUUUGAAAGGCAGCCAUGAGUUGGUCACUGGCCCUGCCUGGCAUAGGCCCCUGUCCUCACAUAGGACACAAGUGAGUUGGGAGAACUGUAAAGUAUAGUGGAUAAUGUGCAAUUUUUAGGUCAAAAGAGCUGUGCACCCUUAGGUAAAUUUCUUCUUGUCUCUGAGUUGCAAUUUCUUCAUUUGUUAAGAAGGAUACAUUAUAUAAGUUACAUAUGUUAUUUAUAUCAUUUAUAUAAAUAUAUAUCAUUUAUGUAUCUACUACACAUUAUAUACAUUAUUUAUCUCCCUUUACAAUGAGGUAAUAGAAUCAUUGUGAUAAUGAAAUUAUAUGUGCCAAAAUAUUUUUAAGUUUUCAGCACAUAUAAAGUACUCAGAAAAUGUCAGCUAUUUAGUACCAUUAUAAUUUCAUUGCUAUUUAAAACAUAAAUAACAGUAGCAUAUGUCAUUCAAUAAUCUAUAGUGUUUAUUUGGUAAAAAAAAAAAAACAGAUUCAUCAUCUGGGAUGGAGAAGAGACAGAGAAAAAGAAUGUUUAUUAGACCUCAUAACAAUCUAAUCCUGAUAAUAACCCAUUAAGGUAGAUAUUAAUAAACUCAUCUGUAAAACAAGGAUAAGUAACCUGCCCAAGGUCAUGCAACUACUAAGUGACAAGGCUAAGUACUAAUCUAGAUCUCACUAUUAAAAAGGGAUACUGGGCAGUGAGUUAGCUCUUUUAGAAGUAGAUAUGCUUGGCUGGGCAUGGUGGCUCAUGCCUGUAAUCCUAGCACUCUGGGAGGCUGAAGUAGGUGGAUCACCUGAGGUCAGGGGUUUGAGACCAGCCUGGCCAACAUGGCAAAACCCCAUCUCUACUAAAAAUACAAAAAUUAUCCAGGCGUGGUGGCGAGCGCCUAUAUUCCCAGCUAUUUGGGAGGCUAAGGUGGGAGAAUCACUUGAACCCUCGGGGGCAGAGGUUGCAGUGAGCUGAGAUCAUGCCACUGCACUCCAGACUGGACAAAAAAGCAAAACUCUGUCUCCAAAAAAAAAAAAAAAAAAAAAAAAAAAGGAGAUGCUUCGGCUUUAGAAAAAUGUCCUGAAUUUUUGUAUGGAGAACAGUGUCCAACAGGCGCCCAGAAUAGAACCCGACAAUAUGGCAGAAUCACUCCAGAGCAUAGCGUAUGUACAACUGGGCAAAAGAGACUUAGAACAUGACCUAGUUCCUGAGUAGGAACAUUCAUUCAUAGGGUCCUCUUAGGUAAGUCAAUUCCACAUUCUAGAUUUUUCAGUUCAGAAUUCAUCCCACAUAUUCUGUGUCAUUAUCACCAUGUGCAUUUUUGGGCUAGGUUACCAUUUUCACAGAUCCAAGAUAUUACAGAAGAAUUCCUACAAGUCUAGACUUGGCAUCUCAAACUGGCAACUUGUCUUUCAAAGCCCGCAAACCCAUUUUCUUCAGGAGACGUUACAAAAUCAAAUCUGAAUGCUUCUUAAUGUUGCAUGUGGGUUUCCAGGCUCCUCCCGCCCCCUGAGUCACCAUUCCUCCUUAUUACCUUUUAGACCAACCCUCUUUAUCCUUCAUCCAUAUACCGUAUGAUGCUUGGCCCCUAAGAGUGUUUAUGUUAAUCAGGACCCACUCCAGACUGAUUAAAUGAGAAUAUCUGGAUUUGGGGCCAGGAUAGAGAUUUUAAAGGCUGCCCUUGCCCAGGUGUUUCUAAUGAACAACCAAUGUUAGUCACAGCUCUAGCCCCUGCUCUCAAUCCAUACAUCAAUCUUUCUUUCUAUUGUAUUCUUCUCUUUGUAGUGAGCUGAAUAGUGUCUGCCCCCCUCCAACAAAUUAAUGUUCAUUUGGAACCUUAGACUGUGACCUUAUUUAGAAAUAGUCUUUUUUUUUUCUUUUGAGACAAGUCUUGCUCUGUUGCCCAGGCUGGAGUGCAGUGGGGUGAUCUGGGCUCACUGCAACCUCUGCCUCACGGGUUCAAGUGAUUCUCAUGCCUUGGCCUCCUGAGUAGCUGGGAUUACAGGUGUGUACCACCACGCCCGGCUAAUUUUUGUAUUUUUAGUAGAGACAGGGUUUCACCAUGUUGCCCAGGCUGGUCUUGAACUCCUGACCUCAGGUGAUCUGCCUGCCUUAGCCUCCCAAAGUGCUAGGAUUACAGGUGUGAGCCACCGCACCUGGCCAGAAACAGUUUUGGGUUUUUUUAGAUAUUAUUAGGCAAGAGUGUCAAAAUGAAGUGUUCAUGAAUUUAAGGUGAGCCCUAAAUCUAUAGACUGGUGCAUAUGAGAAGAGAAGACACAAGAAAACACACAUGGAAGAGAGUGAUGAAGGCGAAGACCGGAGUGAUGUAGCUCCAAGCCACAGAAUGUCAGAGAUCGCCAGGAGCCACCUCCGGGAUAAGGCAAGGAAGGAUUCUUUCCUAGAGCCUUCUGAGAGAGCACGACCCCACUGACACCUUAACUUUAGACUUCUAGCCUCCAGAAUCGCAAGAGAAUAAAUUUCUGUUGUUUUAAGCCACCCAAUUUGUGGUAAUUUGUUAGGGCAGCCCUGGGAAACUAAGACGCCCUAAGACAAACUCACCUAAUGUCUGCUGAGAAUUGCUCAGAUAUUCUAAAUGUCCGUGGAUGUCUCAUGCUUCCAGAAUUAAUUUGAAAAUAUUCUAACACUUAGGGGCACCAAAGGGGCUUUAGCAAGGAGGUAACUGUUCACUUGAGACACAGUCAGGGAGUCAUGGACUCUAGGGUCUUCCAGGGGCCCAUGGAGCCAGUGAGCUGGCCCAAAUCCAGGGUUCCCUAAUGCAUCUUCUCAUCACUUCAUUUCCUUUCCAUUAGUGGCGGUGGAGGACAUGACUUUUAUCUUUAGUGCCAAAGACACUAAGAGAAUGAACUCUUCCUGGUAACUAAUUAAGGUUUUAUUGCCUUCUCUCCCAUCAUCUCCUCUCUUUUCUAUUGUUUCUGUGCAGGUCCCACUUUCUGUAGUUGUUCUGGUUUUGACUUCUGUUUUCUCUUCCUUUCAGCAGAUGGAAAGGCAGCUCAACAUCUGAGAAGCCAGUCUUACUCCCUGCAGGCAACAGCUGCUUCCAGAAAACAGCCCUGUAAUUGUCACCAUCAAAUCCAUAUAUUUUCAAGGGAAGUUGGUCCCACACCAGAAGUCAUAGCUGAAUCACCAGCAGUAAUGCAGGGACAUACUGGUUGCUUCUUGGCUUUUCCAACCCUCUGCCAUGCUUGAACAUCUUUGUGAAAGUCCAGGAACAACAAAUAAGCUUAAGGAUAAAAGCCCCCCAGCCAUACCACCACAACCCCCUGUUAAACUCAUGCAUGACUUGUAGAAUCCUUUCCCCACUGUCACUAAAAGGCUUUUUACAUUUUCCCUCCUUAAAACACCAGUUUACUGAAUGGAACGCUAUUUCCUAAAUAUUUGCUACACACACAGCUGUAUAUAGAGUUCCCAGGAGAUGACUAUUACUUCACCAAAGUACAGUUCCUACAGGAAGAUAAUGAUCUGACCUAACCUACUAUUGGCUGAAGGAAGGAGAAAAGCAGCUGAAGAUGUCUGUUGAGUGAUUACCCUCAUAAUCCGUGACUAAGAACAUCCAAAUCAGCAUGGCUUCUUCCUGUCUGAAAUUAUUACUACUUAGGGUUUUUCACGUGUUAUUUCAUUUAUUGAUUAUUCUGUUUUAAACUUGCAAGACGUAUUGUCUCUUCAGAAAUAAAACUUUAUCACUUGCUUCAUCAAUUCAAUUAAUUUCACAAUGCAUUGAUUAAACUCCUACGUAAGCAUUUCAGCAUUUUAAAACAUUUUUAAAAAGGUAAAAUCAGGACUGUCAUGUGAAUGAUAUGCCAAAGGUUUUA